rnacentral:lncRNA from 1 species
UAUCGUUGUCCAGUACGAAUUUCAUUUCGUCUUUUUGGAUUCUGUGGAAUUUAAUGUGUUACGAUGGGAGUCUCCAUGAUCUACUAAUUCCUCGUUUUCAAAAAAACUAGUCUCUCAAUUCAAUACCGGUCCAAUGUUUAUGCACUGUGUUUACUUCAAUCUCAAAUUACUUCUCUGAAAAGCUUUUGCCCAAAUUUCUGUUUUUUAUUUGUGCAUCCAAUUUUGUAAAUACAACAAUUUUCACGUCAUUGCUGGAGCCUGAAAGGGGUCGAAUAUAUAGGGUAUAACAAUAAAAACCAAGUUAUUUUCCACCGUUUCUCUGUUGGAAAAAAUUGAUUCGGCCAAUACAGAAUUUCAAAGAAUA